rnacentral:rRNA from 1 species
UAACGCGAAGAACCUUACCAGGUCUUGACAUCUUCUGCCAAUCUUAGAGAUAAGACGUUCCCUUCGGGGACAGAAUGACAGGUGGUGCAUGGUUGUCGUCAGCUCGUGUCGUGAGAUGUUGGGUUAAGUCCCGCAACGAGCGCAACCCUUAUUAUCAGUUGCCAGCAUUCAGUUGGGCACUCUGGUGAGACUGCCGGUGACAAACCGGAGGAAGGUGGGGAUGACGUCAAAUCAUCAUGCCCCUUAUGACCUGGGCUACACACGUGCUACAAUGGACGGUACAACGAGUUGCGAAGUCGUGAGGCUAAGCUAAUCUCUUAAAGCCGUUCUCAGUUCGGAUUGUAGUCUGCAACUCGCCUACAUGAAGUUGGAAUCGCUAGUAAUCGCGGAUCAGC